rnacentral:rRNA from 1 species
AACGAACGCUGGCGGCGCGCCUAAUACAUGCAAGUCGAGCGAGAAGACGUAGCAAUACGUUUGUAAAGCGGCGAACGGGUGAGGAAUACAUGGGUAACCUACCCUCGAGUGGGGAAUAACUAGCCGAAAGGUUAGCUAAUACCGCGUACGCUCCUUGGACUUCGGUUCAGGGAGGAAAGCGAUACCGUGGGUAUCGCGCUCUUGGAUGGGCUCAUGUCCUAUCAGCUUGUUGGUGAGGAACGGCUCACCAAGGCUUCGACGGGUAGCUGGUCUGAGAGGACAAUCAGCCACACUGGCACUGCGACACGGGCCAGACUCCUACGGGAGGCAGCAGUAAGGAAUAUUGCGCAAUGGGCGAAAGCCUGACGCAGCGACGCCGC